CGGACGGGUGAGUAACGCGUGGAAAACCUGCCGUAUACUGGGGGAUAACACUUAGAAAUAGGCGCUAAUACCGCAUAAGCGCACAGCUUCGCAUGAAGCGGUGUGAAAAACUCUGGUGGUAUACGAUGGUUCCGCGUCUGAUUAGCUAGUUGGUGGGGUAAUGGCCUACCAAGGCAACGAUCAGUAGCCGGCCUGAGAGGGUGAACGGCCACAUUGGGACUGAGACACGGCCCAAACUCCUACGGGAGGCAGCAG
rnacentral:rRNA from 1 species